rnacentral:rRNA from 1 species
GACGUAGGGCGCGAGCGUUGUCCGGAUUUAUUGGGCGUAAAGAGCUCGUAGGCGGCUUGUCGCGUCGUCCGUGAAAACCUGCAGCUCAACUGCAGGCUUGCGGGCGAUACGGGCAGGCUAGAGUUCGGUAGGGGAGACUGGAAUUCCUGGUGUAGCGGUGAAAUGCGCAGAUAUCAGGAAGAACACCUAUGGCGAAGGCAGCUCUCUGGGACGGUACUGACGCUGAGACGCGAAAGCGUGGGGAGCGAACAGG